UGGGCUGUAGCCAAGUGGUAAGGCAGUAGACUUUGACUCUACCAUGCGCAGGUUCGAAUCCUGCCAGCCCAGCCA
rnacentral:tRNA from 1 species